rnacentral:rRNA from 1 species
UAAGAUGAGAGUUUGAUCCUGGCUCAGGACGAACGCUGGCGGCAUGCCUAAUACAUGCAAGUCGAACGAGCUUCCGUUGAAUGACGUGCUUGCAC